UACGUAGGGCGCAAGCGUUGUCCGGAAUCAUUGGGCGUAAAGAGCGUGUAGGCGGCUCGGUAAGUCCGCUGUGAAAGUCCAGGGCUCAACCCUGGAAUGCCGGUGGAAACUGUCGAGCUAGAAUCCGGAAGAGGCGAGUGGAAUUCCUGGUGUAGCGGUGAAAUGCGCAGAUAUCAGGAGGAACACCAAUGGCGAAGGCAGAUCUCUGGGCCGUAACUGACGCUGAGGAGCGAAAGCAUGGGGAGCGAACAGG
rnacentral:rRNA from 1 species